AUCGCGGACUAAUAAAAAGAUGAAUCGUCCAAAGGUAUUACAAAAUGCUUUUGUAAAACUUGGCUAUAUGCUGGAAACUCCGUAGUAUCCGACAAUACUCCGCUCGUAGUGGAGUGAAAAUUUGUUCGGUGCGGACAAUCAGCAGGGAAGAACCAGCUUGGUUCCCCUCAACGACUAUACGCCAGGCUCCAAAUAUAAUUGGAGAAGAUAUAGUCUGAACUGCAUGGCAACAUGCAG
rnacentral:ncRNA from 1 species